CAAAGCACUUUGAAGAGAGAGUUAAAAAGGACGUGAAACCGAUGAGGUGGAAACAGACAGAGUCAGCGUAUCUGGCCUGUAUUCAGCCAAUGUUUUCUGGGCGACAGUUUACUGUUCUCCAGAUUGGGACGGUGAGCUGUCUGCUUGGAUGACAGCGGUGCAUUUGCGGGUGGAGUGCGCUGAGGUUGUCAGGAUAGCGGCAUUAACUUUGCUUUGAGGCCAGCCUUUCGGGGUCUGGAACCCGGGCAUUGGGAGUGCUGUUUAACCUGACAGACAGGGGAAUGGUUAUCGGGCUCGAUUGGGUUCCGAGCUGGCAGUAGGUGGCGGCCGCAUGCGACACGUACCAACGGUCAGUUCGGUCCUGGUCGAGCUCUCAAAGCCCAGUCCUCGGUGUAAAAGCUGGUCAUCUGUCUGACCCGUCUUGAAACACGGACCAAGGAGUUUAGCGUGUGCGCAAGUCAUUGGGUGUUGAAAACCUAAAGGCGGAAUGAAAGUGAAGGCGUCCCUUGUGGAGCUGAUGUGUGAUCCGGACCAUUGCGGUGGUCCAGAGCAACAUAGUCCCGUCCCGAUCGCAUGCGAUGGGGCGGAGACAGAGCGUACGCGCUGAGACCCGAAAGAUGGUGAACUAUUCCUGAGCAGGACGAAGCCAGAGGAAACUCUGGUGGAAGUCCGAAGCGAUUCUGACGUGCAAAUCGAUCGUCUGACUUGG
rnacentral:rRNA from 1 species